rnacentral:rRNA from 1 species
AUGGGACGCCGCCGCCAUGUCGUCCUCCUCCUCCUCCUCCUGCUCCUCUUGCAGCUGGUUCCCCGGAUCCUCGCCUCCACCGCCGCCACCCACGGCAAUGGAGAGGCCGCCAUUACCAAGGAGGAAGGGGGCAGCGUGGGGGCGAUGAUGAGGCAGACGCUGGGUUCCCGGCCGCCGAGCUGCGAGGGGCAGUGCCAGUGGGCGUGCGGCGGCCGCCGGUGCGAGGCCGUGCAGGUUCCCGUCACUCCGCGCGACCUGGAACAGCAGCUGAAGAAGAAGAAGGAGAAGCGGACAUCGUUGGCGGCAGGACGAGGAGGGGGCGUGCUGUUGCCGUCCUCGUACGACGAGCACUCAAACUACAAGCCGCUCGGCUGGAGAUGCAAGUGCCUCCACUCCUAG